UCUUCCUCCUAGGAUUGAUGUGAGGAUGAAAUGAAAUAAUGCAUGUAAAGUUCUCAGUACAAGACGCAGCAUCUACACUCAAACAGCACCAGCGAAAAGGGGGGAAAUCAAUGUUCCUGCGUCCACAUAGCCGGCCCAAGCCAGGACUCCAAACAGUGAGUGACUCUGCCUCUCCCCCCAAGCUGCCCAGCCAGCAACCAGCUGCUCAGGGCCUGCGAGCCAACGGGGCCUCUCUGCCAGUGACGCUGGCCUUCAUUCAACCCGUUCCACUUCGUGACCAACGACACGUUCUACCUGCACAGCCGAGUGACUUUGUGUGACGAGCGGGAGGGAUACCCGUGCCAGCCAACCUGUAGGCAGAAGACGUCCCCUGGGAGAUCCCGGCGCAAGAGCUCCUGGAGAGCGGCCCGGGCUGGAUGGUGUUUGGGCCCAACCGGAUAAGCGAGUCCAAUGCCUCCAGCAGCCGGUGUUUGGCAGGUUGGUGCACAGGGACUGAUUGGUGUGAAAUUCUGGAGCCUGGAUGACUAUUUUUCUUCUGAUAGGCUUGAUGCUGAGAUAAAAUCCUGCCCAGAUAUUUCCCCCAACUCUAGCCCUUGGCUUCUAGUUUCAUUGAGGUAAGGGUGGAGUGGAAGAAGAUUUAGGGAGAGAAAUAGUCUGUCCUUUUGUUAGGGAGUGAGAUGGAACCCCUGCGUGUCCGAACUACUAUCUGGUAAGAAAUGUGGCUGCUGAGCCUCAAGCUGUGCUUCCUCAUCCCACCAUCCCUUCCCAUCUCUGGAACUCGUCCAAGGGCAGGAUUGGGCCGCUCAAUGUGGUAGGGGGCUGGGCAAAAAGAAUGGCCAAUAAACAGCAAGG